rnacentral:rRNA from 1 species
UACAGAGGGGGCAAGCGUUGUUCGGAAUUACUGGGCGUAAAGGGCGCGUAGGCGGCCUGCUAAGUCGAACGUGAAAUCCCCGGGCUCAACCCGGGAACUGCGUCCGAUACUGGCAGGCUUGAAUUCGGGAGAGGGAUGUGGAAUUCCAGGUGUAGCGGUGAAAUGCGUAGAUAUCAGGAGGAACACCGGUGGCGAAGGCGGGUCUCUGGGCCGAUACUGACGCUGAGGAGCGAAAGCGUGGGGAGCGAACAGG